rnacentral:piRNA from 1 species
UCCUGUCCUUCACAAGGACUAGCGUCCCUGG